UACGGAGGAUGCAAGCGUUCUCCGGAUUUAUUGGGUUUAAAGGGUGCGUAGGCGGGCUGCUAAGCGUGAGGUGAAAUGCCACGGCUCAACCGUGGAACUGCCUCGCGAACUGGUAGUCUUGAAUGCUCCUGCCGUGGGAGGAAUGUGUGGUGUAGCGGUGAAAUGCAUAGAGAUCACACAGAACACCGAUUGCGAAGGCAUCUCACGAAGGGGUGAUUGACGCUGAGGCACGAAAGCGUGGGGAU
rnacentral:rRNA from 1 species